rnacentral:lncRNA from 1 species
CCUGGAGCACGGCCUGCGCAUGCGCGCGCCCCAGGGCCCAGCCCUGUUCCUGCUCCGGCUCCUGCGGGGAUGGAUGCUUCACGCAGUAAGCGACCUAAGUCGCGGAAGCGUAGACACCCGGCUUUUCCCGCGUGCUCUAUCGGGCUCCCCUGGACACGGAGGGUGGAGCAGAAAGAGCAGAGGGGCCGGUGGGAGCCAUGGGGAGUCCGCCUAGCUCCAGAGGACACCUUACCUGGAUCCGCCUUUGUAGCCUCCUCCUGGCUCUGGGGGCUGUCCUGUGGGGUCCGAGUAGCUGAAAGACAGCCCCUCCAUGUGAGGAAGCCCCCAACUGGGGAAAACCCCCUCGUGGACUCAUUCCUGUCCCUGCAUGUGGCCUUCACCUGACUGUCUGCAUUGAGGCAUCCUCUGCCAAGAGCAAUUUCAAAGUGGCAGGAAAGUGCUGCUUUCAACAUCUGCCACAUUUGCAAGAAGAGCAAAGGUGGCCCAUUUGAGACCACCCUUGAACUAAACCAUCCAGUGAGCCCCUGAGGUCGGGACAGAAGUGGCCAUGACCUUCCUCAAGCAGGGACUGUGGUGGAGCCCACCUUAUCCAGCACAAGGUGGCCUGCUGACUUCUGGUGACAGUGAUGCCAACUUCCUGGCUGUCCAAGGUUCAAAUCUUGGUCUUAAUCCUCCUGGCCUUCUCUCAUCAAUGGCCAGAGCCACCCUAGCUAACAAGGUGCCCAGGGACUCCGGGGUGGGAGAAGUCCAGCUUCUUCUUAGCUGAGGACAUUUGAGUCUCGUCACAGCCCCCAAAAGAAUACUCAUUUUUGUAGCUGGAGGGCCUGGCCUCUGUCUAUCUUUGCUUUUCCAGAAGCUGACAAGUACCUGCCGGAAAAACUGCCUCUUUUCCCUCCCGUGCUUGGAGCAGGCAUUGCUGACAGAUCACAGCUGCUGGGCCCAAAGGUCCCUUUGCACGCGGGACUUCAGGAAGUUGCUGCUGACCUAUGGGAGUUGGUGCAGAAAGAUGAAAUUUGUUAUCCUUGGCUGUAUCAACUCUCUCUCCUCUCCUUGGUGGUGAUAGUUUUGUUCUUAAAAGCCUCUUGUGAGAGAAUUUGUGGAUGAAGAACCUGUAAGAUCACAAGUGAAACAAUUUAUUGAUGUCAAUAGAUUUAUACACGUUCAUUAAGAAUCAAAACUAAACUAAAACAUCAGUCUGACUAAAGAGACCACCACAGAUAUUUCAUAUGCUGUACAUCAGUAACAAAGGGUACCAAAUAGUUAAUAUCCAUGUACUAGUCACAUGAGAAAUGUUUUAGGGUCAUUGACCAGUGUAGUCAGUACAGUGGUCCCAUGGUAUUUGUGGGGGAUUGGUUCCAGGAAUCUCUUGGACACCAACUCCGUGGAUGAUCAGACAAUAUAAAAUGUGGGUCAGGUGCGGUGGCUCAUACCUGUAAUCCCAGCAUUUUGCGAGAAUCACUUGAGGCCAGUUCAAGAUCAGCCUGUGCAACAUAGCAAGACUCCACCUCUAAAAAAAAAAAAAAAAAAAAAAAUUAGCCCAGUGCAGCGGUGUGCACCUGUAGUCCCAGCUUCUCAUGAGGUUGAGGUGAAAAGAUCACUUGGGCCCAGGAGUUUGAGGCUGCAGUGAGCUGUGACUGCCACUGCACUCCAGCCUGAGUGACAAAGCAAGUCCCUGUCUCUUAAAAAAUAAAAUAAAAUAAUAGCAUUUGAAUGUAACCUACACACAUCUCCCAUAUACUUUAAAUCAUCUGUAGAUUGCUUAUAAUACCUAAUACACUGUAAAUGCUAUGUAAAUAGUUGUUAUUCUGUGUAGUUUUUAAAAACGUGUAUUUCUUAUUGUAUUUUUUUGUUUGUUUUUUGUUGUUUUUGGAGACAAGGAGACAAGGUCUCACUCUAUCACCCAGGCUGGAGUGCAGUGGCACCAUCUCGGCUCACUGCAGCCUUGACAUCCUGGGCCCAAGCGAUCCUUCUACUUCAACCUCCCAAGUAGCUGGGAAUACAGGCGCUUGUCAUCAUGCCUGACUAAUUUUUGUAUUUUUGUAGAGAUAGGGUUUCACCAUGUUGCCCAGGCUGGUCUUGAACUCCUGGGCUCAAGUAAUCCUCCUGCCUCAGCCUCCCAAACUGCUGAAAUUACAGAUGUGAGCCACCACGCCCGGCCAUUAUUGUUGUAUUUUUAUUUUUUUUCAAACAUUUUUGACUUGCGGUUGGUUGAAUCUGUGCGUGUGGGAAGCAUAGAUACUGAGGACUGUAGUUUCACCAAAAUGCUUCCAGUCACUGUGCCUUCCACCAGCUCCCUCACACAUCUGGGUGCAUGACGUGUCGUGGGAAGAGUGUGGCCUCCAGGGCCCACCAACCUAAGCUUCAAUUCCAACUCCACUCCUGCGGACCAGUUACUUCCUUGAGGUCCAUUCUUCUCAUUUGCAAAAUGGGAGAACAACUUUUCCUCAGGUUGCUGGGAAGAUUAAACAAGAUCGUGAUUCAGAAUGCUUAGCAUGUAUGCUCAUGACACACUUAAAGAAUGCCGGCUACCCUUUCUGUUCCCCUUGCCACACUUACUCCCUCGCUACCUUCUCUGUGGGGGUCCUUCUUCCGAAAGUCAAUAUAUUUCUGAUUUAAGACUUGGCCUCUCUGAGCCCCACCAUGGUGACUCUUGAUUUGAAUGUAGAUAUCCCACAUCUCAAUGUAGAUGAAAAGGUGGAGCUGAAAAUUUAUACCAGAGUCAGAUCCAGGUUUUAGGGGUCCUGGAACCUAUACAAUUUGGGGCGCCUUCUUACAGAGCUAUAAAUUCUAAAUUCAGCUCAGGGUCUUGGAAGGUACCUGGGCAAGUGAGGGGGCCUGGAGCUUAAGUUUCACUCGCUUCUCGGCAAAUCCCCUUUGAUCCACCCACGUUAGAAUUUCACAUGCAGUAGGCCGGGCACGGUGGCUCACACCUGUAAUCCCAGCACUUUGGGAGGCUGAGGUGGGCAGCUCACUUGAGGUCAGGAGUUUGAGACCAACCUGGCCAAUACAGUGAAACCCCGUCUCUACUAAAUUACAAAAAUUAGUCAGGCGUGGUGGCGGGUGCCUGUAAUCCCAGCUACUCAGGAGCCUGAGGCAGGAGAAUGGCUUGAACCUGGGAGGCAGAAGUAGCAGU